GAUGAACGCUGGCGGCGUGCCUAAUACAUGCAAGUCGAGCGAACAGACGAGGAGCUUGCUCCUCUGACGUUAGCGGCGGACGGGUGAGUAACACGUGGAUAACCUACCUAUAAGACUGGGAUAACUUCGGGAAACCGGAGCUACUACCGGAUAAUAUAUUGAACCGCAUGGUUCAAUAGUGAAAGACGGUUUUGCUGUCACUUAUAGAUGGAUCCGCGCCGCAUUAGCUAGUUGGUAAGGUAACGGCUUACCAAGGCAACGAUGCGUAGCCGACCUGAGAGGAUGAUCGGCCACACUGGAACUGAGACACGGUCCAGACUCCUACGGGAGGCAGCAGUAGGGAAUCUUCCGCAAUGGGCGAAAGCCUGACGGAGCAACACCGCGUGAGUGAUGAAGGUCUUCGGAUCGUAAAACUCUGUUAUUAGGGAAGAACAAAUGUGUAAGUAACUAUGCACGUCUUGACGGUACCUAAUCAGAAAGCCACGGCUAACUACGUG
rnacentral:rRNA from 1 species